rnacentral:rRNA from 1 species
AGAGUUUGAUCAUGGCUCAGGAUAAACGCUGGCGGCGUGCCUAACACAUGCAAGUCGAACGCCCUUGCUUCGGUGAGGGAGUGGCGGACGGGUGAGUAACACGUGGGGAUCUACCCAGAGGUGAGGAAUACCGGUCAGAAAUGGCCGACAAAACCGCAUAGCCUCUUUGAAAGAAGAGGAAAGUCGCAAGACGCCUGUGG